ACCAGAGGAACGAAGGCUAAGAGUGCCACAUCGUGUGGCAACGCCUUCGUGACCAACAUCCUGUCGG
rnacentral:sRNA from 1 species